rnacentral:rRNA from 1 species
GCUUAGAGUUUGAUCCUGGCUCAGGAUGAACGCUGGCGGUAUGCUUAACAUAUGCAAGUCGAACGGAGUACUUCGGUACUUAGUGGCGGACGGGUGAGUAACGCGUGAGAAUCUGCCUUCAGGAUGGGGAUAACAGUGGGAAACCAUUGCUAAUACCCAAUGAGCCGAGAGGUAAAAAAUUUAUUGCCUGAAGAGGAGCUCGCGUCCGAUUAGUUAGUUGGUGGGGUAAAGGCUUACCAAGACGGCGAUCGGUAGCUGGUCUGAGAGGAUGAGCAGCCACACUGGGACUGAGACACGGCCCAGACUCCUACGGGAGGCAGCAGUGGGGAAUUUUCCGCAAUGGGCGAAAGCCUGACGGAGCAAUACCGCGUGAGGGAGGAAGGCCUUAGGGUUGUAAACCUCUUUUCUUAAGGAAGAAGAUCUGACGGUACUUAAGGAAUCAGCAUCGGCUAACUCCGUGCCAGCAGCCGCGGUAAUACGGAGGAUGCAAGCGUUAUCCGGAAUUAUUGGGCGUAAAGCGUCCGCAGGCGGCACUAUAAGUCUGCUGUCAAAGACCGCAGCUCAACUGCGGAAAGGCAGUGGAAACUGUAGAGCUAGAGUACGGUAGGGGUAGAGGGAAUUCCCAGUGUAGCGGUGAAAUGCGUAGAGAUUGGGAAGAACACCAGUGGCGAAAGCGCUCUACUGGGCCGUAACUGACGCUCAGGGACGAAAGCUAGGGGAGCGAAAGGGAUUAGAUACCCCUGUAGUC